rnacentral:rRNA from 1 species
AACGAACGCUGGCGGCAUGCCUAGCACAUGCAAGUCGAACGCCCUGGUUCGCCAGGGAGUGGCGCACGGGUGAGUAACGCGUGGGAACCUGCCCGGCAGUACGGGACAACCGCGGGAAACUGCGGCUAAUACCGUAUACGGCCUGAGGGCGAAAGAAAUUCGCUGUCGGAGGGGCCCGCGUCGGAUUAGGUAGUUGGUGGGGUAACGGCCUACCAAGCCUGCGAUCCGUAGCUGGUCUGAGAGGAUGAUCAGCCACACUGGGACUAAGACACGGCCCAGACUCCUACGGGAGGCAGCAGUGGGGAAUAUUGGACAAUGGGCGCAAGCCUGAUCCAGCAAUGCCGCGUGAGUGAUGAAGGCCUUAGGGUUGUAAAGCUCUUUCGCCCGCGACGAUGAUGACGGUAGCGGGAGAAGAAGCCCCGGCUAACUCCGUGCCAGCAGCCGCGGUAAUACGGAGGGGGCGUAGCGUUGUUCGGAAUUACUGGGCGUAAAGGGCGCGCA